rnacentral:rRNA from 1 species
ACGGAAGGCAGCAGUAGGGAAUCUUCCGCAAUGGGCGAAAGCCUGACGGAGCAACGCCGCGUGAGUGAUGAAGGGUUUCGGCUCGUAAAACUCUGUUAUUAGGGAAGAACAAAUGUGUAAGUAACUGUGCACAUCUUGACGGUACCUAAUCAGAAAGCCACGGCUAACUACGUGCCAGCAGCCGCGGUAAUACGUAGGUGGCAAGCGUUAUCCGGAAUUAUUGGGCGUAAAGCGCGCGUAGGCGGUUUCUUAAGUCUGAUGUGAAAGCCCACGGCUCAACCGUGGAGGGUCAUUGGAAACUGGGAAACUUGAGUGCAGAAGAGGAAAGUGGAAUUCCAUGUGUAGCGGUGAAAUGCGCAGAGAUAUGGAGGAACACCAGUGGCGAAGGCGACUUUCUGGUCUGUAACUGACGCUGAUGUGCGAAAGCGUGGGGAUCAAACAGGAUUAGAUACCCUGGUA